AGCUAGCAUGGUGCAGUGGUUUGAACAUUGGACUAUGACUCUAGGAGACCAGGGUUCAAACCCCAGCUUGGCCA
rnacentral:tRNA from 1 species